AUCGUCCAAAGGGCCUGAAAAACCUUAGGAAGGACAGUACCUUGUAAUUCUUCUCUAUCUAAAACCUGAAGGGAUUCGUGGCCUUUCCGUUAGUGAUGCAUCUGGUAUCGUGUUUGCUAUUCAGUGGACUGAUUAUGGAUACCUUCUACCU
rnacentral:lncRNA from 1 species